UUUCUAACAUUUUCAUACUUUUGUAAAAGGAUAGAUUUGAUUUGCUUUUCAGUUUACUGCUUACAUACUUGUUCCAUUAAAUUGCCGCAUCUACUUGCUGGAAGUUGUGUGUUUCAAAUCAUCUAUGUUGAGGAUUACACUAUGAAAAAAAUCGAGGGACUUCGAAUUCGAAGUGUUUAUAAAAACAUAGGCUACUCUUUUGGAUUGGUAUGGAGAUGAAACCCAUGUUAUCUAACGUGCAAAGGAAGAGGGAAACACACAGGCUGAUCCUACAUCCAAGAGGGGGGAGAUGACCAUAGAAGAGGAUGCAGGCAGACCGUACCAGGAGUUCUUUUGAGCUCCGCAUCAAGGCGUUGCAUUUUUUCUUUGAAGUUGUAGACGUGAUGCACUCAAGAAUGCGAUAGCUUUAUUGUGCCAAAUGGUUAUAACUUAUAAAUUAAUACGGUUGUAAAUUGUUAGUUAUAUAUUGCUUGUUUAGAAAGUGAAGUAUAUUGUGGCUUUUUUUAGUACAAAUUCGGGUGUGGGCAUUGAACCAAGAACCUGGUCCUGAAUCCAUUUGAGCUUAGCUCUUGUUGGUUA